rnacentral:rRNA from 1 species
UGGGGAAUUUUGGACAAUGGGCGAAAGCCUGAUCCAGCAAUGCCGCGUGUGUGAAGAAGGCCUUCGGGUUGUAAAGCACUUUUGUCCGGAAAGAAAUCCUUGGCUCUAAUACAGUCGGGGGAUGACGGUACCGGAAGAAUAAGCACCGGCUAACUACGUGCCAGCAGCCGCGGUAAUACGUAGGGUGCAAGCGUUAAUCGGAAUUACUGGGCGUAAAGCGUGCGCAGGCGGUUUGCUAAGACCGAUGUGAAAUCCCCGGGCUCAACCUGGGAACUGCAUUGGUGACUGGCAGGCUAGAGUAUGGCAGAGGGGGGUAGAAUUCCACGUGUAGCAGUGAAAUGCGUAGAGAUGUGGAGGAAUACCGAUGGCGAAGGCAGCCCCCUGGGCCAAUACUGACGCUCAUGCACGAAA